UACGUAGGUGGCAAGCGUUGUCCGGAAUUAUUGGGCGUAAAGCGCGCGCAGGCGGUCCGGUAAGUCUCCGGUGAAAUCGCCCGGCUCAACUGGGCGGGUGCCGGGGAGACUGGCGGACUUGAGGAGCCUAGAGGCCGGUGGAACUCCCGGUGUAGUGGUGAAAUGCGUAGAGAUGUGGAGGAACACCGAUGGCGAAGGCAGCCCCCUGGGUUAACACUGACGCUCAGGCACGAAAGCGUGGGGAGCAAACAGG
rnacentral:rRNA from 1 species